rnacentral:lncRNA from 1 species
GGCUUUCGAGAUUUGGCGCGGCCUUUGUCUCUGGCUGCAGUCGUAGCUCCAGGUCUUUUCUUCUCUGUUCUGUGUCUUCUGCUCCUAGAGGCCCAGCUUCUGUGUCCCUGUGACCUGUAGGUAUUGGGAGAUCCACAGCUAAGAUGCCAGGACCCCCUGGGAAGCCUAGAAAAAUGGUUCUGCCUGCAAAGAAGAUUGUGACAUAUUGCUGGUUGCAACACCACGGUGAUGUUACUUUUUGCCUUCUCACUGCCCUCAGAAGGCAUUGUGAUAUGUUGGUGGUCCCAGCUUCAAAGAAAUACUUGUCUGCAGCGCAGAUUGCUACAUAUUGCUUGGCCCAGCUCCUAUGUGAUGUGACUCUCCUGUCAUACCUGAGUGCUCCCCACUGCGGUAAUUGUGACAUAUAGCUGGGCUCUGGCCCUAGUUUAUGUAACUUUUCUUCCUGACUGCUACUCACCUGGGGGCAUUGUGACAUAUCUCUGAACCUCUCACCUAAGUGAUGUGAAUCUCCUGCUUGAGCCCACUUCUCAGGGAGUAUUAUUAUAUAUUGUCACACACAGCAACUAGGUGAUAUGACUCUCUCUACAGCUUGGACUCUGCCCAAUAAAAAACUGUGAUGUAUCACUGGACCCAGCA